CCUACGGGCGGCAGCAGUGGGGGAUAUUGGACAAUGGCGGGAACCCUGAUCCAGCGACGCCGCGUGAGUGAAGAAGUAGCUCGGUAUGUAAAGCUCUAUCAGCAGGGAGGAAGAAAUGACGGUACCUGAGUAAGAAGCCCCGGCUAACUACGUGCCAGCAGCCGCGGUAAUACGGAGGGGGCAAGCGUUAUCCGGAAUUACUGGGUGUAAAGGGAGCGUAGACGGUGAUGUAAGUCUGGAGGGAAAGGCGGGGGCGCAACCCCCGGACUGCUCUGGAAACUAUGUGACUGGAGUGCAGGAGAGGUGAGCGGAAUGCGUAGUGUAGCGGUGAAAUGCGUAGAUAUUAGGAGGAACACCAGUGGCGAAGGCGGCUUACUGGACUGUAACUGACGUUGAGGCUCGAAAGCGUGGGGAGCAAACAGGAUUAGAUACCCGAGUAGUC
rnacentral:rRNA from 1 species